UUCCUGGUGGCUCGGAUGCUAAAGCGUCUGCCUACAAAGCGGAAGAUCCAGGUUCGAUCCCUGGGUUGGGAA
rnacentral:tRNA from 1 species